AAGCAGUCAUCGCCGUGCGCUGGGGGCGCAUGCAGAGGUGGACAGCUUGGGAGUCAGACAGAUCUGGUCCAGGGUCUAGCAUCACCCCUGCCGCCUGUGUGAUCAUGGGCAACCGCCCCACCCUGCCCGGGCCUGCACCUCCUCCUCUGUAGAUGGUGACAAUGGUAGAAUGGACCACCGGGCUAAAAGCUGUAAAAGUGCCUGUACACAGGAAUCAUCACUCAGUGAAUAGCUCCUGUGGCUACAACAUUCAGAUGCCAUGGCUAGAGGUCAGGUUCUAGGAUGUGGGAGCUCUGUCUGCCUCAGGGAGGCAAGAGCCAGGCCCCAGGAACUCAGGCCUUGGUCCUCAGCCAUCCUCUCUGGUCAGCGCUGUGCAUCCCUCUCUGGCCUGGGGUGAGAGCCUGCAACAAAGGUGUCUGGAAGCAGCUUCUGGAGCCAGGCCAGGAGAGCCC
rnacentral:lncRNA from 1 species